rnacentral:rRNA from 1 species
UACGGAGGGAGCGAACGCUGUUCGGAUUUACUGGGCGUAAAGGGCGCGUAGGCGGCCACCGCAAGUCGACUGUGAAAUCUCCGGGCUUAACCCGGAAAGGUCAGCCGAUACUGCGGGGCUAGAGUGCAGAAGGGGCAACUGGAAUUCUCGGUGUAGCGGUGAAAUGCGUAGAUAUCGAGAGGAACACCUGCGGCGAAGGCGGGUUGCUGGGCUGACACUGACGCUGAGGCGCGAAAGCUAGGGGAGCGAACGGG